CCUUACGGGAGCCAGCAGUAGGGAAUCUUCCACAAUGGGCGCAACCUGAUGGAGCAACCCCGCGUGAGUGAAGACGCCCUUCGGGUUGUAAAGCUCUGUCGGUGGGGACGAGGGUCUCGGGGUAACCGUAGCGUGGACGGUACCGCCGAAGGAAGCCCCUGCAAACUACGUGCCAGCAGCCGCGGUAAGACGUAGGGGGCAAGCGUUGUCCGGAAUUACUGGGCGUAAAGGGCGUGUAGGCGGUACGUUACGUAGCGGUUUUAAGCCUNCGGCUCACCCGGAGGAGGGCGGCUAAACGGUCGCACUGGAGGGCAGGAGAGGUGCACGGAAUUCCUGGUGGAGCGGUGAAAUGCGUAGAGAUUAGGAAGAACACCCGUGGCGAAGGCGNUGCACUGGCCUGACCCUGACGCUGAGGCGCGACAGCGUGGGGAGCGAACGGGAUUAGAUACCCCGGUAGUCCACGCCGUAAACGAUGGNUACUAGGUGUCGCGGGGGUCCACCCGCGGUGCCGGAGCUAACGCACUAAGUAUCCCCGCCUGGGGAGUACGGCCGCAAGUG
rnacentral:rRNA from 1 species